CCUCCAUCUACCCUAGGCAGCUUUCCUGAGCCUUUGGAAACCAGUUUCUGUUGUCUCUAUUACCUGUCUGAAGUUUAACAUCUGUGAAGCUGCUCAUCUGACGGCCCCAGAGAUUAAAGUCUGUUUAUUGGCAUAGGGGAGAGGCUGAGGCAGCCUAAAAUCUAGGCUAAUAUUAUCACCUUUGCCAUGCAUGUUUUUCCACAAUCUGGAGACCGGUGUACAUAAAGAAAAAGCAACAUCUGUGAUACUCCUUAUACUACUUUGUG
rnacentral:lncRNA from 1 species